rnacentral:tRNA from 1 species
ACGGACUUAAUUGAAUUGAGCUUUGGUAUGGAAACCCUCUAUCCCCCCCCAAAAAAAGCCUUAAUUUGACUCCCCAAAUAUUUAU